UACGAAGGUGGCAAGCGUUGUUCGGAUUUACUGGGCGUACAGGGAGCGUAGGCGGUUGGAUAAGCCCUCCGUGAAAUCUCCAGGCUUAACCUGGAAAGUGCAGAGGGGACUGUUCAGCUAGAGGAUGGGAGAGGAGCGCGGAAUUCCCGGUGUAGCGGUGAAAUGCGUAGAGAUCGGGAGGAAGGCCGGUGGCGAAGGCGGCGUCUGGAACAUUUCUGACGCUGAGGCUCGAAAGCGUGGGGGAGCGAACAGG
rnacentral:rRNA from 1 species